rnacentral:rRNA from 1 species
GACGAACGCUGGCGGCGUGCUUAACACAUGCAAGUCGAACGGAAAGGCCCUGCUUUUGUUGGUUGCUCGAGUGGCGAACGGGUGAGUAACACGUGAGUAACCUGCCCUUGACUUUGGGAUAACUUCAGGAAACUGGGGCUAAUACCGGAUAGGAUCUCCUGCUGCAUGGUGUGGGUUGGAAAGUUUCGGCGGUUGGGGAUGGACUCGCGGCUUAUCAGCUUGUUGGUGGGGUAGUGGCUUACCAAGGCUUUGACGGGUAGCCGGCCUGAGAGGGUGACCGGCCACAUUGGGACUGAGAUACGGCCCAGACUCCUACGGGAGGCAGCAGUGGGGAAUAUUGCACAAUGGGCGGAAGCCUGAUGCAGCAACGCCGCGUGCGGGAUGACGGCCUUCGGGUUGUAAACCGCUUUCGCCUGUGACGAAGCGUGAGUGACGGUAAUGGGUAAAGAAGCACCGGCUAACUACGUG